rnacentral:rRNA from 2 species
UCUUCGGAACAGAGAGAGCGGCGUACGGGUGCGGAACACGUGUGCAACCUGCCUUUAUCUGGGGGAUAGCCUUUCGAAAGGAAGAUUAAUACCCCAUAAUAUAUUGAAUGGCAUCAUUCGAUAUUGAAAACUCCGGUGGAUAGAGAUGGGCACGCGCAAGAUUAGAUAGUUGGUGAGGUAACGGCUCACCAAGUCAAUGAUCUUUAGGGGGCCUGAGAGGGUGAUCCCCCACACUGGUACUGAGACACGGACCAGACUCCUACGGGAGGCAGCAGUGAGGAAUAUUGGACAAUGGGUGCAAGCCUGAUCCAGCCAUCCCGCGUGAAGGACUAAGGCCCUAUGGGUUGUAAACUUCUUUUAUACUGGGAUAAACCUACUUACGUGUAAGUAGCUGAAGGUACAGUAUGAAUAAGCACCGGCUAACUCCGUGCCAGCAGCCGCGGUAAUACGGAGGGUGCAAGCGUUAUCCGGAUUUAUUGGGUUUAAAGGGUCCGUAGGCGGAUUCGUAAGUCAGUGGUGAAAUCUCAUAGCUUAACUAUGAAACUGCCAUUGAUACUGCGAGUCUUGAGUGAGAUUGAGGUAGCUGGAAUAAGUAGUGUAGCGGUGAAAUGCAUAGAUAUUACUUAGAACACCAAUUGCGAAGGCAGGUUACCAAGUCUUAACUGACGCUGAGGGACGAAAGCGUGGGGAGCGAAC